rnacentral:rRNA from 1 species
AGGAUUCCCUCAGUAACGGCGAGUGAAGCGGGAAGUGCUCACCGUGUGAAUCUGUACAGCUCAAGCUGUGCCGAGUUGUGGUAUAUAGAAACAAUAUAUUUUAUGAGUUACGGGCUAAGUCCUUUGGAAAAAGGCAGCAGAGAGGGUGAGACUCCCGUUCUUGCCUGAAACUCUUUAUUGUAUUCAACGAGUCGAGUUGUUUGGGAUUGCAGCUCAAAGUGGGUGGUAAAUUCCAUCUAAAGCUAAAUAUUGGUGGGAGACCGAUAGCGAACAAGUACAGUGAUGGAAAGAUGAAAAGAACUUUGAAAAGAGAGUUAAAGAGUACCUGAAAUUGCUGAAAGGGAAGCGAAGGAAACCAGUGUUAUCCUUUCUCAUUCUUCUCCUGCUGCUUGCAACAGGAGCGCUGUGAGUUGGGAUAGGCCAGCCUGGGUUUGACUCGGUGGAAUCUGCACCGGCUUGGA